GUACAUCAAUAGAGUGAUAAGAAGAAAACGCUCUCCGGUGCUGUGCUCUGUAAAUAUCACAAAUCACACAGUGGGAACCUGCGAGCAAGGCACACACUUCCACGCCGGUCAAUCUCAUUAGCGCGAACGUGAUGCGUAUGUGUUGUCAUGGAAGGUGAGGACGUUUUACCGUCUAGGGAACAUCAGAAAAUGUGAAAAUGAAUUUCGUUCCUGACCAAAAUUUGAUGUUAUAGACUCAAAAAAAUGAAGAAUAAAGACUAUAUAGACAGAAAAUACAAUUUUUGUUAUUACUAUUUUUUUUUUUUUCCAAUUCUGAAUGAAUAGUCCUAGACGUCUCGUCUCGUCUGUGCUGUCGUGUCAGGUUUUGUAACUUCUCGGAUACGGAUUUAUAUUUUUCCUCGGAGCACUGAAACCUAAUCUGUUGUGAAAUUGUUGAUACUGCUCAACGUGACAAAACGACCCCCCCCCCAGGAGUAACGAUUCACUUUAUAUGAGCCCUUAGGCAAAUUGACGUUGUGCCGAUCGUACACGCGCCAAACGGGCUCGUUUCCAGGCUCUACGUUUCACUAAACACUAUAAAGAUGAAUGUUAGUGCAGUCUUGGUAAGAACAUACUGUCACUCUGCUGUAACAUACGUAAUGAAUAUGCAACGGAUUGCAGAUACUAAAGCGGUGAUCAAAUAUACUGGUGGUGUAUUUGACGUGAUUGAGGUUUACGUCCAGCUUUGAGUAAUGUUUUUUGUUAUUCUUUUCCCCCACACUGUGUUAACCAGGUAGUAAAAAAAAUCACAGCCAACGUAUUUCGAGGAAUGAAAAUGAAUUAGGCAAACGAACAGAGUUGUUCCCUGGUAAUCAUUUUAAAAGUUCUGCUGCCAGUAAAUAAAAUGCAGAGUGCUCAGAUAUGAAAUGAAGCUCUUCGGACAAAAGAGAACCCACUUUCGUUAGCGUGGAAGAGUACGGGGUGCUCACACUGAGCUGCACACGGAGCUGCGCACGGAGCUGCUGGUGUUGGUUGGGGGUUGGUCAGAAUUCCUUCAGGAGGAGAGGAGAGGUGGGGUUUUUUGGUCAGAAUUCCUUUGGGAGUGAGUGGGACUGGUCAAAAUGUGAUCAUUUUAUUUGAUUUCUAUUGUUCUUUUAAUAAUACAGUCACAAAGCAGCUUUACAGGGAUUAGUCAGAGUUCCUUUGCGAGAAGGCAGGAUUGGUCAGAAAUCCGUCUUGAGAGGUGGGAUUAAUCAGAAUUCCUUUAUGAGAGCAGGUGGGAUCAGUCAGAAUUCCUUUACGAGAGCAGGUGGAAUCAGUCAGAAUUCCUUUACGAGUGCAGGUGGAAUCAGUCAGGAUUCCUUUGCGAGUACAGGUGGGAUCAGUCAGGAUUCCUAUGGCAGAGCAGGUGGGAUCAGUCAGAAUUCCUUUGCGAGAGCAGGUGGGAUCAGUCAGAAUUCCUUUGCGAGAGCAGGUGGGAUCAGUCAGAAUUCCUUUGCGAGAGCAGGUGGGAUCAGUCAGAAUUCCUUUGCAAGAGCAGGUGGGAUCAGUCAGAAUUCCUUUGCAAGAGCAGGCGGGAUCAGUCAGAAUUCCUUCAAGAGAACGUGGGAGCAGGAUUUAAAAAAAAGAAAGGAAAGAAACAACAGUUUAAUGCACACCUCUACACCAUAGUAACUCAUGCGGCGUGUUUUGUAUCAUUAUCCUGCAACAUGAAGUGACCUCAAGUUUAGAGUUUGUUUAUUAUUCGAUAUUUGGCCUUUUUAAUGGGGGAAGUCCUUAGAUCAUUUUUUGUGUAAUUUGAGAGUGUUUUUUUCAUUCUAGAACAUGAUGACCUGCUUUACUUUCAC
ensembl:lncRNA